rnacentral:rRNA from 1 species
AUGCUUUGUACUGUGAAGCUGCGAAUGGCUCACUAUAUCAGUUAUAAUUUAUUUGAUGGUCUCUUAUUACUUGGAUAACCGUGGUAAUUCUCCGGCUAAUACAUGCUGCCCCUCGGGGCGUAUUUGUUAGACCUUAAACCAACGCCAGCAAUGGCUAUCGGUGACACAUGACAACUGCACAGAUCGCAUGACCUCGAGUCGGCGACGCUUCAUUCAAAUUUCUGCCCUAUCAACUUUCGAUGGUAAGGUAGUGGCUUACCAUGGUGGUAACGGGUAACGGGGAAUUGGGGUUCGAUUCCGGAGAGGGGGCCUGAGAAACGGCCACCACUUCUAAGGAAGGCAGCAGGCGCGCAAAUUACCCAAUCCUGACACAGGGAGGUAGUGACAGAAAAUAACAAUGCGGGGCUCUUUGAACUUCGCAAUUGGAAUGAGUACAAUUUAAACGUCUUAACGAGUAACAAUUGGAGGGCAAGUCUGGUGCCAGCAGCCGCGGUAAUUCCAGCUCCAAUAGCGUAUAUUCAUGUUGUUGCAGUUAAAAAGCUCGUAGUUGAACAUCAGAUGCGGCGGGGUGGUGCGCUUCGGCGCUACUGCCUCUCUAUAGCGUCUAGAAUGCGAGGCGCAGCACGCAAGUGCUGGCAGCCCGCGGGUUACUGUGAGGAAAUUAGAGUGUUUAAAGCAGGCGUUUGCUUGAAUACUGCAGCAUGGGAUAACGAGUAGGACUCCGGUUCUGCUUUGUUGGUUUGAGGGCCAGAGUAAUGGUUAAUAGGAACAGUUGGGGGCAUUAGUAUUCAGUAGUCAGAGGUGAAAUUCUUGGAUUUACUGAAGACUGACUAGUGCGAAAGCAUUUGCCAAGGAUGUUUCCAUUAAUCAAGAACGAAAGUUAGGGGAUCGAAGACGAUUAGAUACCGUCGUAGUCUUAACUGUAAACUAUGCCGACUAGGGAUCGGUGGCUGUCAUCUUGACACCAUCGGCACCUUGUGAGAAAUCAAAGUUAUUGGGUUCUGGGGAGAGUAUGGUCGCAAGGCUGAAAUUUAAAGGAAUUGACGGAAGGGCACACCAAGAGUGGAUUCUGCGGCUUAAUUUGACUCAACACGGGAAAACUCACCAGGUCCGGACAUAAGAAGGAUUGACAGAUUGAAAGCUCUUUCUUGAUUUUAUGGGAGGUGGUGCAUGGCCGUUCGUAGUUGGUGGAGUGAUUGUCUGGUUAAUUCCGAUAACGAACGAGACCUAACCUGCUAAUAGGGGUGGGCACGCGAGUGCUUCGCACCUUCUUAGAGGGACUGAAUACGUUUAGUAUUCGGAAGUUUUAAGCAUAACAGGUCUGUGAUGCCCUUAGAUGUUCUGGGCUGCACCGCGAUACAUGGCCUAG